rnacentral:tRNA from 1 species
CGCUAGGAAGCUAAAUUAUUGGACAAAGCAUUGGCCUUUUAAGCCAAAGAGUGGUGCCUACCGAACACCUCUAGUGA